UCCAGGGUAGCCUAGUGGACAUGGCACCUGCCCGGUAAGCAGAAGGUUGUGGGUUCGAUUCCCGCCCCUGGCA